CACAGACCAUUGUCUAGUUGGGAAAGAGCUAAUCCAUUUGACCUAGCCAAAGGACAUCCCUUAGGAAGGCGGCUUCACCUGAAGCCAUGCUAAAGAGAUAGGGAGGAUAAUUAGAGACAAUGUGCCUUUUCUUACCAGAGUUCUUGCCCCUCUGUCUCAGUUCCUUCAAUCUGCUAUGAAGUUCCACUGGGUCUGUCUAACUCAGAAAGAUACAAUUCUACCUUGCUCUUCUGUCCUGUUCUUCCAGGCGCUGACCAGAGAGCCUAAGUAUACUUUCUCUGGCACUUAGUAUGUUUUCCUCUUUCUCUUCUGCUGCCCUCCCAAUAUGGCCGCUUGUCUGCUAUACAGCUGAUCCCAUGCCAAUUUAACUAAAACAGUUUGGCUUUUAUUCUUCUCUGACACCAUCCUGUCGGCUGCUGAUAUUUACAGCUUGUCUGCUUUGGAGUUUUUCUUUUAAGAUUGUCCUUAAGCUUCCACUUGAACCUGUUCUUAAAUUCUUUUGUUAAUGAGGCUAGGGACCCCAAGGAGAUGAGAUACCUAUCCUAGUGUCAUGCAGAUACAUAUAAUUGUUAUUGAAAUCGUAUUAAUAAUGAAUUGUAUUAUUAUUAUGUGUAAGUGUGUGCACAUGCGUGCUUCGGUGCACUUGUGGAGGUCAGAGACCAGUCUGUGGGAACUGUUCAUUUCCUUCCACCGUGUGCAUCCUGGGGUUUGAACUCAGAUCGUCUGGCUUGGCAGCGCAUGCCUUUACCCACUGAACCAUCUCACCAAUCCAAGGGUGUAUAUGUUCUUGAGCCAGGCUUUGGCAGCCAGGUUGAUUUGCAUUCACUUUGGAGACAGCUGUGGUCUCUCGUCUUCUGGGAAAGGGCUGACCUCAUUCAACCUUUCUGGAAAUACUUUUGCAGACUCACACAUAGGCAUGUUUCAGUAGCGACGUUUGGGAAAGCGUCCUUCCGCAGAGCUCUGAAGGGUAGGAUAGGCUGUAUCUGUUAUCUCCUUGUUGGUGUGAUGAGAUACCUAUCAGAAAAGAGCCUUGUGGAAGGGAUGGCUUAUUUCAGUUCACAGUUUGAGGGGGCUGUCUGUCCUUGCAGGGAAGGCAUUGUAUGAUGUCAUGCUGUGUCUGCUGUCGAAGAUGAACCAAGCGAUGAACGGGGUGGGCGUGCUCAGCUUCCUGCUUUAUUCAUUCUGGGGCCCUAGCUCAUAGGAUGUCUGUUUUUGAUUUGUUGUAGAGCAUAGGUUCUCAAGCCGUGGCUCCCAACCCCUUUGGCCAAUCGCUAUGUCUAAAGACAUUUACAUUAUGAUUCAUAAUUGUAGCAACAUUACAAUUAUAAAAGAGCAACAAAAAUUAUUUUAUGGUUCUGGGGGGUUACCACACAUGAGGAACUUUAUUAAUGAGUUACAGCAUUCUGAAGGGUGACAGUCACUGCUGCAGAGGGGACUAGGAUUUGGUGUAUGCUAAGCUCGUACUCUAUCACUCAGACACAGCCCCAACCCAUAAAUUAUUGGGUUUCUUUGUUUUACAGUACCCUUUCUGGUUGAGCUGAGCAUAUUCUCCUUCAAGGACAGGACGUCUCUGCUUCAUAUGGUUAUUACAAUGUCAGGAUAUUUUUGUUUUGUUUUUGUUUUUGUUUUUCGAGACAGGGUUUCUCUGUAUAUCCCUGGCUGUCCUGGAACUCACUUUGUAGACCAGGCUAGCCUCGAACUCAGAAAUUCAUCUGCCUCUGCCUCCCAAGUGCUGGGAUUAAAGGCAUGUGCCACCACCGCCCGGCAUGUCAGGAUAUUUUAAAGAAGCCAUUUUAAUAGGCCUCAAAGAUUGUCUGUCUAUCUGUCUGUCUGUCUGUCUGUCUGUCUGUCUCUAUCUAUCUAUCUAUCUAUCUAUCUAUCUAUCUAUCUAUCUAUCUAUCAAUCUAUCUGCUUCAUUUUUCCAGAUAGUGUUUCUCUGUGUAACAGCCCUGGUUGUCCUGGAACUCACUCUGUAGACCAGGUUGGCCUCAGACUCACAGAGAUCUGCCUGCCUCUGCCUCCUGAAUGCUGGAAUUAAAGGCAGACGGCACCACACAGAAUGAGGGAUGUGCUUGCUGUCACACCACACAUCUGAGCCUAGGCUUCUCUGUACAGCUCUACUCCCCAUCCUAUCCCUGGGCUUCAUGCCACCUCUUUCUGCCCCUCAUCUCCUUUCUGGGUCACACUGGCCUCAAACCCCAUCUUGCAGAAGCCAAGCAUUUUGGCGCUGCAUCUGUAAAAGUCCUGCUUUAAAUUAUGAAAUGUGGGAAAAUGGACAAAACCCACCCAGGAGAGAUGCUUCUAGAGUUCUCACUUGGUCAUUUGUCUUGGUACAUUAGAGCCGCUGUGACAAAUCACUGUAAACCAAGGAAAUUCCAACAACCAGCAAUUACUUCUCCCAGCUGCAGCAGGCUCAAGGUGAGGGGGUUGGGGGGAGGUGGGAGCUGAUGUCUGGGAAAGCACCAUUCCUGGCCCGCAGGAGUUCUUAUUAUCCCCUCCCAUAGUGGACAGCUGAGAGGAAGCAAGUGCUCUGCCUCUGAGGAGAGCACUCAUCCCAUCUGGAAGGAUGCACUCUCCCAGAAGGUUCACCUCCAUGUACAGUGCUUCUCAACCCAGCACUCAGUCUGUGACAUCUGUGAUGUCAUGGAGAAGAAUGAGUAGCCUCCCCUGAUGCUUGAAAUAAACACGACUCAGAGGCAAACCUCCAAUGGCUGUCAAUACGUACAGAAUGAAGGUGAAUCUGGAAGCAUCUAGAUGGCUAAGUCUAACAGUAGGGUUAGGACCAGCAAUUAAAGAGAGGGAGGACCCACCCCUCACCACUCUCAACCCCACAAGGUACCAAUUGCCCAUAUCUCCUGAUAAAAACAACUCUUUGGUGCCCUUUGGGAGCAUGCAAUCAAAGUCCUCAUUGGAGUGGCUCAGUGUGAGGGCUGUUGCCAUCACAGAGGCUUUGCAGACUUGGGGGGGGGGUUAAACAUGAAAACUGGGUCCUGCCUGCUUCUCACUGUGAGGAGGAAGUAGCUCUCUGUCCCAUGUACCAGGAGCUGGACCACACUCCAGUCCUAUAUCUCAGAAGCUCUGGAAACUCCCUUCUGCAUAUUUCUAGAAGGAAGGACAGUGACCACCAGGGUGGGAAUCCAGCCAGUUUUUAACGGUUGACUCUGUGCAGGGGUGUGUUUUGGGUUUUGUUGAGUUUGCUUGUGUUGUGUUUGGAGACAGGGCUGCCCUCCUUCUUCCUCAGAUUCCAGAAAUGAAAGGGUUACAGGCCUGGGUCACCAAACACUCCGGUUAGACACCAGUUUAAAGAAGGUAAGUGGUUUUACAUAGAAUAUUUGGCGGAGAAAAUUCAAAUGGAAUUGGACAGGAAGUGGGUAUCCUAACUUAAUUAAAAUAAAAGUGAAGGAAAGGAAGGAUGAGAGUUUAAAGAAUUUUAAAAAAUAGGGGCUGGAGAGAUGGCUCAAUGGUUAAAAGCACUGACUGCUCUUCCAGAGGUCCUGAGUUCAAUUCCCAGCAACCACAUGGUGGCUCACAACCAUCUGUUAUGGGGUCCAAUCCCCUCUUCUAGUGUGUCUGAAGACAGCUACAGUGUCCUCAUAAGCAUUAAAUAAAUAAGUAAAUCUUUGAAAGAAAGAAUUAAAAAUAAGUGUAAAAGAAUGAGAAGAAAAUAAGUUGAAGACAGUUGUAGUAGCUUGCACAGGAUCUUGAACUUGGGGUGGGACUUGGAUCCCAGUCAGUGAGAAACCUUGUGCAGUUCUGGGCUUCUUCCUGUCCACUUUAGAUAGACAGGAAUGUAAUGGUUUAAAAGGAUUGGAACUGGGAAAUGAAGCAGCAGGUGAAUCAGGUUGCAGAAGCCAGGGGUGGCGGCUCUUGAAGAUAGUAGAUACCUUUUCCUCCUUGGAAGGUGAGAAAAACCUAAAAGGAGAAGAAUUCCAUUUGCUUAGAGCCACCAUCCUUCUCUCCAGAUGGAUGCAGUCGUACUGGCCUGGUAGUAUGGGGGUCUGUGUUCUGCCCUGCCACUGGGGUUGAGCAAGCUGCUGGAGCACGCUAUACUGUGUUUACCCUGCCCUGCUCCAGAGUUGAGGGCCCAAGGGCUGAAGAUUAAGAUGAGGGGCCUGGAACUGGGGAAUGGGAACUUUGGCUUAGCUUAUCAGAGAAAGUCCUUAGCUUGGUGGUAGUUGUCUGGGAGCACAGAGAGGCCUUCUGUGGGAGCCUACGGUUCUUGAUAAAAAGAGACUAUGUUUAUCCAUACCAUUUAUUGACUGUUUAUCAGGGGAAAUGGGGACAUAUCACCUUCUCAGGGUGGACCAGAGAUUAAAUUACAGGAAGGAAUGUCCAGAAAUGGAAGCUUAUUGUCUAAACCCUCAGGGCCUCUAGAUACCUCAUUAACAUGGAGAACUCUGUGAUCAAUGUGGGAAGUGGGGUCACGUGUUCUGGGCAAGCAAUCUAGGAGGGAGCAGGGAGACACUUACCAUCUCAGGUGGGUACCUGGGUGCCAGGGUCUCGGACCCACACAACCUAAGUUUCUUGGCAUGCUCCAUUGUCCCACAGUAGUAUUGCUAUAAUUAAGCAAAAAGUGUGCAGUCCCCAGCACAUUAGCAGGUCCAUAAUAGCUACUUGAUAGAGGACUAACCCUGUACAUGAAUGAGAAUUUGGAAGGUUGGUUGGAGAGAUCAGUGAGUAGCAGGCAGGAUAGAUGCAUGCAUGCAUGAAGAGAGGGAGGAAGGAAGAGAGGAACGAUUGCUCAGUGUAUUCUGAAGAUUCUAUUCAAAUGCUGUCUCCUGCAAGAAGACAUCUCCAACGAAUUCCUCUUAGCCCACAUAUCACUCCAUCCUCCACACUCCCCAGGUGACCUCUUAGACAACACCCCUCACUAUUAUAAAUUUCUCCUAGGUUGCCAUCUUCUGAGUGACAUCUUGUUCAAGGAUUAGAUGUAAGACUGUGCUUGGAACGGACCUCACCUCUAUGCUGUGGGUAGCCUCGGUGUGAAGCUGUGAGGGAGACAUGGUUUUUCACGCUGAGCAUGGCUGCGAGCAUUUACCAAUGCACCCCACUCACCACCUCUCCCUUUCAUUCUCAAUCAAGAAGAUAGGGCUGUGCCCUGAAAAGCCCCCAAAGAUCAGAGCUGAGUAAUCUCCCAGAAAUUUGGUUACCAACAUUUCUUAUAAAGAUCUAGCCCAAAUUUUUUGCUUUUUGCACCCUGGUUUUAUGAGAAAGUUUUUUGGUUUUUUUGUCUGUUUGUUUUUGUUUUUGGUUAUGAGUCCUUUAAAUGUUUAAAACUCUAGGCACCCAGGGACAGCAAGGUAAGGGGCAUUUUGAAGCCCUGCCUAAAUCUGCUCCCAACAGUUGGGUUGGCUAUGUGACCCCAAGUGUCUGACCUGUCUACUUGUCACAAUUCCUUUCUUUUGAGUAAGUCCACAGGGCAAAGUGGCAGUACAAACACUUCAGAAGAGACUCCCAUAAAGAAAUGGGAAAGAAUGGGCUGCAUUGUGGCAAUGUGAUUCCUAGCCAGAUGUCAUGUUUUGGGAAAAUAGAAAUUUCUGUGUGUGUGUGUGUGUGUGUGUGUGUGUAGAUGGAGAGAAUGAACAGAGCCAGCCAUGAUCCUGAAUAAAUCAGUCUGUCUCUCUGGGUGACAACUCAGAUCAUAAGAGGUCAGACGAGACAGUUUCUACACUUCUGUUACUGCAUGGGAGCCGGGUCCUAUAAGCACAUUAUCACCUGCUCUGCACAUCACAGACAUUUGUGAACAUGCUUAGUCCUCUGACCAUCCAAAUUAUUCAUACUUCCUGGCUUUGAGUAGGUCAUGGAUUUCCCCAGUAUUUCCCAUAAGAGAGAGUUUGCUUUAUCGACCCCAUAUAGAAAGGUGAUUUCCAAAUGAAUAAAAAGUAAAGCCAAGGAAGAGGGAAAGGAAGGAAAAAUCAUCUUGGAGCAUUCACUAUGCAUCAAAUCUCAGACCCAGAAGUUUCAUAUCCUACUCCUCCUCACAAUACCCUGAGAAACCAAGAGGUGUUAUUUUGAUUUUUGUUGUAAUUUAAAAAAAGGUAACUGAAGAUUUCCCUUUGACCUUAGGUCUAGCCUAAUUCCAAGUCUGUGUCCCCUCCAGGAUAUAGUGCAGGAAAUCAGGAUAGAUCUGUAAGCUGAAGACCUGUGUGAGAGUCCUUCUGCUAAAAGUCCCCUACCUGUAUACCAGUUCCCACCCAGUAAAGCUCCAAGAAGUCGUUGAAUCUGCACUGUCCUAGACAGGCUCAUCUUUUGAGCCUUCAGAAUGUGGGUUUUGGCUGAUGAAAGUGAAUUGUUGCAGGGUGAGUUUUUAAAGGUUAGACCCAGCCCUGGUUCCAGCCUGAGCUCACUUGCUUCCGGACUCGCAGCACUAACCAAGUUGCAACUUCAUGCUACCUCCACAAGUAGACCCCUUCCAUCACCAUGCUUCAACUCUGACAUGACUGUUUGGGUUUUGUUUGGUUUGGUUUGGUUUGGUUUUGGUUUUUGGUUUUUGAUUUUUGGGUUUUUUUGAGACAGGGAUUCCCUGUGUAGUCCUGGAACUCACCUGUAGAUCAGACUGAUCUUAAACUCAGAGAUCAGCCUGCCUCCGCCUCCCCAGUGCUUGGGUUAAAGGCAUGUGUCACUACCACCCAGCUUUAAAUUUUUUGAAAUAUAUCUGUCCUUCCUUAAUUUAUCUCUAUGGGACAUUUUAGUCACAUGACAAGAAAAGUAACAAAGCGUAAUUUGUUUUAACCAAAGGCUCAGUCCUAGAAACACUUGCUGCAAGAUGAGGCAUAGCUCACUGGUAGAGCACUUGCCUAGUGUGAGGAGCUGAAUUUGUAACCUAAAACCUAUGUAAAAAGGCCAGGAUUAGUGCUAUGCCUAAUCCCAGCACUGGGGUGCAAACCCCUGGGGUUCACUAGACAGCCCACCUAGACUAAUUGGCAAGCUGCCGGCCUGAGGAAAGCUACUGUCUCAAAGUACAGCACGGGGCUGAAGAAAUGGAUGAGACUUGGGACGUUCCUACGUGGCGUCCUUCCCUCGGCCCUGCAGAUGCCAUCCAGUCUCGCAGGAAUGGCUUACCUCCUGCAUUUCCUUCCUGCUCUGCCCGUCGUCCUCUUGGGGAAGAAAACAAAGGCCAUCUCUUCCCUGAUCGAGGGCCCUCAUAUCCUGCACUGCUGAGAUUAGAUGACCUCUCGGGCUGACCUGCUUCGGGUUAAAUAAGCCUAUUCAUCGAACCUUUUCCUUCUCUGAACUAUAUACAGCCCACCUAUCAGUUUCCUGGCUCCUUUCUGGACUCCCAAGGUGAAGAAUAGAAUUCAGAAAAUGUUCCUCUUGUGGAGGCUCUUACAAAGUCUCUCUUCUCUAAUUUUCUCCUGGGAAGCCAGGCCUACGCCAUGCCC
rnacentral:lncRNA from 1 species